rnacentral:rRNA from 1 species
AGUGAACGCUGGCGGUAGGCCUAACACAUGCAAGUCGAACGGCAGCACAGUAAGUGCUUGCUCUGACGGGUGGCGAGUGGCGGACGGGUGAGGAAUACAUCGGAAUCUACUUUUUCGGGGGGGAUAACGUAGGGAAACUUACGCUCAUACAGCAUACGACCUACGGGUGAAAGCAUGGGAUCGUCGGACCUUGCGCGAUUGAAUGAGCGGAUGUCGGGUUAGCUAGUUGGCGGGGUAAAGGCCCACCAAGGCGACGAUCCGUAGCUGGUCUGAGAGGAUGAUCGGCCACACUGGAACUGAGACACGGUCCAGACUCCUACGGGAGGCAGCAGUGGGGAAUAUUGGACAAUGGGCGGAAGCCUGAUCCAGCCAUACCGCGUGUGUGAAGAAGGCCUUCGGGUUGUAAAGCCCUUUUGUUGGGAAAGAAAAGCAGCAGGUUAAUACCCCGCUGUUCUGACGGUACCCAAAGAAUAAGCACCGGCUAACUUCGUG